rnacentral:rRNA from 1 species
UUAUAAGAGACAGCAGUAGCCGCGGGAAAACGAAGGGGGCUAGCGUUGCUCGGAAUCACUGGGCGUAAAGGGUGCGUAGGCGGGUCUUUAAGUCAGAGGUGAAAUCCUGGAGCUCAACUCCAGAACUGCCUUUGAUACUGAGGAUCUUGAGUUCGGGAGAGGUGAGUGGAACUGCGAGUGUAGAGGUGAAAUUCGUAGAUAUUCGCAAGAACACCAGUGGCGAAGGCGGCUCACUGGCCCGAUACUGACGCUGAGGCACGAAAGCGUGGGGAGCAAACAGGAUUAGAUACCCCAGUAGUCCCUGUCUCUUAUAC